UACGUAGGUGGCAAGCGUUGUCCGGAUUUAUUGGGUUUAAAGGGUGCGUAGGCGGCCCUGUAAGUCAGUGAUGAAAUACUCUAGCUUAACUAGAGGGGUGCCAUUGAUACUGCAGGGCUUGAGUACAGACGAGGUAGGCGGAAUUGACGGUGUAGCGGUGAAAUGCAUAGAUAUCGUCAAGGACUCCGAUAGUGAAGACAGCUUACUAGGCUGUAACUGACGCUGAGGCACGAAAGUGUGGGGAUCAAACAGG
rnacentral:rRNA from 1 species